rnacentral:rRNA from 1 species
UACGUAGGGUGCGAGCGUUAAUCGGAAUUACUGGGCGUAAAGCGUGCGCAGGCGGUGAUGUAAGACCGAUGUGAAAUCCCCGGGCUUAACCUGGGAACUGCAUUGGUGACUGCAUUGCUGGAGUAUGGCAGAGGGGGGUGGAAUUCCACGUGUAGCAGUGAAAUGCGUAGAGAUGUGGAGGAAUACCGAUGGCGAAGGCAGCCCCCUGGGCCAACUACUGACGCUCAUGCACGAAAGCGUGGGGAGCAAACAGG